rnacentral:snRNA from 1 species
GUGCUUGCUUCGGUGGUACAUAUACUAAAAUUGGAACAAUAGAGAGAUUAGCAUGGCCCCUACACAAGGAUGACACACAAAUUUAUGAAGCAUUCCAUUAAAAA